rnacentral:rRNA from 1 species
GAUGAACGCUGGCGGCGUGCCUAAUACAUGCAAGUCGAGCGAAGCGGGGACGGGUGAGUAACACGUAGAUAACCUCCUAUACGACUGGGAUAACUUCGGGAAACCGGUGCUAAACCGGCUACUUAUAGAUGGAUCCGGGCUGCAUUAGCUAGUUGGUAAGGUAACGGCUUACCAAGGCAACGAGGCAUAGCCGACCUGAGAGGGUGAUCGGCCACACUGGAACUGAGACACGGGCCAGACUCCUACGGGAGGCAGCAGUAGGGAAUCUUCCGCAAUGGGCGAAAGCCUGACGGAGCAACGCCGCGUGAGUGAUGAAGGUCUUCGGAUCGUAAAACUCUGUUAUUAGGUAAGCGGUACCUAAUCAGAAAGCCACGGCUAACUACGUGCCAGCAGCCGCGGUAAUUC